rnacentral:lncRNA from 1 species
CAGUCCCAGGUAGGGUGUCCAGUUUUGGUUCUUGUCCAAGGUCCAUGAUGCUAUGACAGAUAAACAUUUGUGGGGAUGGAUAUUGGCAGUCCAAAGUGACGGGAACAUUCAAGAUACAGAAACAUGAGAAGUUCAGGAAUAUAAAGGCCUGAAAGGGGAGUGACCCCCAAUUUUUACCGCAUCCAGAACGGCAGCUAUUUUCGCCAACUGCCAACUCCUACCUGAUCUGGUUGUGAGGUGAAUUUCGUGACGGAUUAUGGAAUCACGAGAACUCACGAGAACCUGUGGAUUCACGUGCAGUCACGCAAUAACAAGUUGUCUUCAGUCACGUAGUCUAACCAUAUAAGCAGUAGAUUGUGUCCUUCCAGAGGAGGAAAUCUACUUCUAGACUUCUAGAAUCAGCAUCUCCUCAUCCAUGAUGUCAUCAGGGUGAAAUGACGUCUAAAAACCUUUCACUUGUUCAUCUCCGCCCGUUUGUAUGGUGUGAUAAACGAUCGGCCUGAAUCAUGGACUGUUUUAUUUUGAAAGGGAGCCGGAUGUUUUAUUUUGUGUCUGUGCCCAACUUCCUUUCCAGCACGGGUCUGGCGAUCCGCGGCGGAACAGAAAUAAGCCGGUGGAAACUGACGUGUUAACUUUAAUGGUUAUGAUCAGCUAUGAUCGACGGAUACAGCCUUUUCGUAGCCAUUCCGGUUGCGGCGGAAAUUGGGGGUAAGACACUGCUAAACACAGUUAAGAUGCUUUCAGGUCCAAUCUCCAAAGAGACUCAAGACUAUCUAAGAAGAAGGGUGAGUUAUAUUAUUCGGGACAUGUAAAGACUUUGGAUUUGGAAGCUGUCUCCUGCCUUUAAAUCAGGGUUUUAGACCACAUCGACUUAUCAGUGUAGCAUUUAUUCAAAUAUAACAAAAGUCCAUGUUUCCCAGAUCAGAGUCUGACAUGGAUAAUAAAGGAGUUUCAAAUCUGAUUAAGACUGGGAUAAAACACAAAAGCUAUUAAAAUGUUCAGCUGAUAUCAAUGACAAACAUUUAUAGUUUGACAGGCCUAAUGGAAAACAGAGCUGUGCAUGUUCCCAUUUGUACCAUGAAUCACUCCAGAUGAGACCAGACAAACGUAUAAUAAUAAUGAAAUAAUGCUGCAGACCAGGACCGCAGUGAAACACGAACAUGUUGUAGCUGUGCAGAGGCCCCAGGCCUGAAAUAUCUCCUCUUGUCAAAGUUUACGGCUUUGCCCUUUAUCUGACUGCAGAUCAAUGCAACAACAUCUCAUAUUUUGUUAGGGGCCGGUAAACUAACCAACUGGAAACAGAUUUUUUUUAUUUUUCCUCCACGUUUUCUGCCAAAGGGCAUGCACAUACAUGCACACCCACACCCUGACAAUGGAUGACCAGUGUUCCCAGUAAUGGAGCACAUUUGAGUCCCUGCAAAAAGCAACCAUUAUAUCCAUGCAUGAUGGAGCGUGGAAGUCAUCCCUGCAUCAAUAGUGGUAGAGCACACUGUGUUUAUGUUUCCUCUGACAGAAAACAGAUUUCUGCUGGAGGUCAGGCUUUUACCAAGAUCCAUACAGAAAAAAAAACUUUCACACACUUUGAAAGAUCAGAAUAAAUAAAAUAAACAAACACGUGAAAGUCGGAGUCAGUCAUUUCCUAUUGUUCCUGCCGUGAUUGACUUCUGUCCCUCUCAAAGAAAUGCACCCCGCCUGCUUUCUCUUCAUCACCUGAGGCGGUCGCCGGUAAUUCAAUCAAUACCAUCAAUUUCAAUGUUUACCCUUCUGUGUUCAGCUCUGGUUUCAAUCCAAUACGUCCAAAAUUAGGCCAACAUGUCCAUCUGUUGUUGAGUUAACAUUUAUGGAUGCCACUUCUCAUUUUUCACCGAGUUUGUCCUUAAGUUUCGGGUGAUUGAGAGAGUUUUACAUUCAUGUUGUUGAAGUAUUUUCAAGCGCAGGCAUCUGGAGACGAUCUGCAGACUCAAACACGAUCAAAAUGCUGUUAUAUAUGAAAGUUCCUGCUAACCACUGUUUACUAUCAAAGAUUACACGGUCAUCAUCUUCCUGACGCUCUUUGACUCCGUUUAAAGCCUCUUACUCACGCAGCAUGCAUGCAAAAUGCUAAUGGGCGAGUUUUCUAUCUAUUAACAUGGUGACCUCCACAGAGAAAUGUGCCUGGGGAUAUUAACAGCGGGCCAUUUGACAAUAAUGGGACCUUUAAUCUGAGUUUGAGCCAAACGCAUGAAUGACAUUUCCCAGUCAGUGUUCCCAUUCACAAACAGCGGGGGACCAAUCACAGCGAGGCACAGUUCAAUUAGGUAGAAACAAAGCACAUCUGCCAAGGGUGAGGGGGUUUACAUUAAGCGCUGAACGCCACGCUGAACACCCAUUUUCUUCAACCUUUAGGUGCCGAGUUAAAGUCAAAUGUUACACUAAACGACUAAAUUUUGUUGAGAAUUCAGCGCCAAGCGAUCAAACCUGAUUUUGAGUGAUUUCCAAGUCAGUCAGACGUGAUUUAGAGUGCCGCAAAAUCUUUAUUUAAAAUGUUUGAAGAGAAACUGGACGCAGAAAGUCCCUUUCAGUCUGAAAAAGUGGAGAAAAGAUGUGUUUUAAAAUAUCGACCAAGACUGACCCCCAAUUUCCGCCACGACCGGAACAGCUAUGAAAAGGUCGUAUCCUCCGAUCGUAGCUGAUCAUAACCAUUCAAGUUGACGUGUCAGUUUACACCGACUUCUUUCUGUUCUGACGAACAAGUGAAAGGUUUUUAGACGUCAUUUCACCUCGAUGACACCAUGGAUGAGGAGAUGCUGAUUCUAGAAGUCUAGAAGUAGAUUUCCUCCUCUGGAAGGACACAAUCUACUGCUUAAAUGAUUAGCCUACGUGGCUAAGAGACAACUUGUUAUCGUGUGAUUGCACGUGAAUCUGCAGGUUCUCGUGAGUUCUUAUGAUUCCUGCUGUCCGUAAUUUACCACAAAAUUGGCCAAACAGAUCCUGUAGGACGGUGAAAAACACUGCCGUUCCAGACGCGUUGAAAGUUGGGGGUUACAGUGGAGCAGUCGGCCAUGUUCUCUAUCGUCUGCUUGUCUGUAAUGAAAUUGUGUUGAAUUUAUCAGAAUAGUGUAAAUUCUGUUCUUGGCUAAAUAUGUUAAUAAAGGCUGUGUCUUGUUUAAAAGUGACGACCAAUCAGAGGCUGCAUCUGUGAUCAGCUGACCUGGAAAAGUCCAAUGAGAAGCAGCCUUCUCUGUCCUCGGUCCUUUGGUGAAGUACUGAAGUACCAGCCAUGUGAAAAGACUUUAAUGUGGAUCAGGGGAGAGAGGAUUCAUGAGAGAUGGACUUCUGUAUGAUCUGAUGAUGUUAAGAAACUGUCCACAGGGGGCGCCAAAAUCAACACCAAGACUAAAGUUACCUCAGAAGUCAGAUGUCGGUUUCAAUAAAUCGGAGGCCUGAAACAAGAUGACUUCAUCUUCGAAAGUAAUUUUAGCGCUUACCUUAUAUUCGGACAAGGCAAGUGCUAAAAUAACCUUCGUAGAUGUAGCCAUUUUGUUUCCGCCUCUGAUUUUGGUAACUGAAAUGCUUGGAACUCUGGUGUGACGUCAUUUUCUGCUCGAACUUCUGACUUCCGAGGAAACUGGAACGCAGCAAGAGUUUCUCACAGAAGCUUUAAAGGGAUUUUCCAGCAGCCGCUUGUUUGUACAGAGACCUCAGGACGGGGAGACGCAGCUCAAGGAAGAACAUUUAUGGUCUGCAGUGAAAAAUGAUUAAUAUGGAGAUUAUUACUUCAAGGAAAUGAUGAAGAAAUUAUCAUAAAUGUUCUUCCUUGAGCUGUGUCACCCCGCUGUAGUCUGUAAUGGACUGGUCUGAGGUCUCCCCACAAACAAACGGCUGCUGGAAGAGAGUAGGUGAGUUGUGUUUAGUCUCUUUGCUAAAGAGAUGAGUCAAAGUUAAAAAGAUGUUUGGUGUCUAGUACUAUGUCUGUGACACUAUAUGUCCUGUUGAUGAAGUUAGGUGCUGUUCUGAGCAUUAUUUGUGGCUAUAGAGUGGCGUUUUGGUUGAGGGCGUGUCUCUCUGUAUUUCUAUCCUACGGUUGUUACUAAAGUUGGUAUAACUAGAGAAGCAAGCGGUCAGAAACAUUUACGCUAGAAUAUCCCUUUAAGAGAUUUUAAAAACACCAACUUCCAUCAUUUUAUUUAGUAGGUGUGUCACAACACAUUUGGUUUUCACAUGUUUGAAAAGGUGAAUAGGAGGAGAUCAAGAUAAUCCGACCCAGAAGUGACAAAAACGUGGACUUGUUCAGACUCAGGUUGUCUCUGAUUUUCGUGGAUAUUGUGAAAGUGAAAUAAACUCAACCUGAACUUUGCUGAAUGUGAAACUGAAGGACAAAUCUGGAUGAAAAGGAGCUCCCACAUCUUUGGAGACCCUCCUGCUUCAGCGCGUAUUAAAUAAAAGGUGUUGGUAUUGAUCCUCCUCAUCUAACUAUCAAUGCACCGCUGCCUGUACUCAAUCAUGCAGCUCUUUUCAAGCCAAGGACCCGCACUGCCUUACCAAUUAAUCAUGUCCCCAACAGACUGUCCAUAUUUCCACUUUUCAGCCUGUUUAACAAAAAACUCUGACAGCGAGUUAAACCCUGCGCUCCGGUUCAGGGUCAAAGUUCAGCUUGUUUUGACCUCCGGGUCACCGCCGUCCACAAACUCUCUUCCUUGAACCGUCCCUCUAUCAAAUAAGGUCAUGCGGGCCGUUUCUCUCAAACUCAUUCAAUACUGCAGCCGUUUGGUUUUUCCAACAUGCUCAGUCUUUCCUGAAAAAUACCUCACGGCCGCCGUCUAACCGAGAGGCUGCUGCUGAUUACAAAAUCCAUGAAGAAAAGCAUUUCUCUCACCUGCGUCCCAACCUGCAUCGAUCCAACAAGGGACUAGUUGUUUGAAAUGAUCGGGAUGAUUACACGACCCUGAUCAUGCUGCAGUAUUGCAUAGUUUGUGAUUUAUGGAAAAUCCAUGGGCCCACACGUUUUUACAACAUAAUAUUGGAUUCGGGCUGCGCCCUCGUAUCGGCGAGGGGAGAAGGAGGGGCGGAGUGAGUUCAGGGUGAAAAAUUAUGUAUGGCACAAUGAUUGCAUCUUCAAACAGCGGUUCAUCCAGCCUCUGAUGAUAGUGAAAUAUAUCUCAGUUCAUUUCUCAUAACUGCUGGACUCCCAAAUGUGUUGUUUGA